GUCCUAGCCUUAAACGAUGAAUGCUUGGUGUCUGGGGUUAUAUAGUCCCCGGGUGCCGUCGCUAACGCUUUAAGCAUUCCGCCUGGGGAGUACGGUCGCAAGACUGAAACUCAAAGGAAUUGACGGGGACCCGCACAAGCGGUGGAGCAUGUGGUUUAAUUCGACGCAACGCGAAGAACCUUACCUGGGCUAGAAAUGCCUCUGACAACCCUAGAGAUAGGGCCUCCUAGGGAAACCUAGGCAGAGUGCAAGGUGCUGCAUGGCUGUCGU
rnacentral:rRNA from 1 species